rnacentral:tRNA from 1 species
GCCUGGGUGGCUUAAGUGGUGAAGCAUCUGGCUUCAGCUCAGGUCAUGAUCUCACGGUCCAUGGGUUCGAGCCCCGUGUCGGGCU